rnacentral:rRNA from 1 species
CCUACGGGGGGCAGCAGUGAGGAAUAUUGGGCAAUGGGCGCGAGCCUGAAGCAGCCAAGCAGCGUGAAGGAUGACUGCCCUACGGGUGUUAACCUUCGUUUAUAAAGGAAUAAAGUGACUCUCGUGUUCCUCUUUGUAUGUACUUUAUGAGUAAGGAUCGGAUAACUCCGCUCCAGCAGCACCGGUAAGACGGAGGAUCCGGGGGUUGUCCGGAUUUAUUGGGUUUAAAGGGAGCGUAGAUGGGUCGUUAAGUCAGUGGUGAAAGUUUGCGGCUCAACCGUACAAUUGCAAUUGAUACUGGCAGUCUUGAGUACAGUUGAGGUAGGCGGAAUUCGUGGUGUAGCGGUGAAAUGCUUAGAUAUCACGAAGAACUCCGAUUGCGAAGGCAGCUUACUAAAAUGCAACUGACAUUGAGGAGCGAAAGUGUGGGUAUCAAACAGGAUUAGAUACCCUUGUAGUC